CGGCGGACGGGUGAGUAACACGUGGAUAACCUACCUAUAAGACUGGGAUAACUUCGGGAAACCGGAGCUAAUACCGGAUAAUAUAUUGAACCGCAUGGUUCAAUAGUGAAAGACGGUUUUGCUGUCACUUAUAGAUGGAUCCGCGCUGCAUUAGCUAGUUGGUAAGGUAACGGCUUACCAAGGCAACGAUGCGUAGCCGACCUGAGAGGGUGAUCGGCCACACUGGAACUGAGACACGGUCCAGACUCCUACGGGAGGCAGCAGGG
rnacentral:rRNA from 1 species